UACGAAGGGGGCUAGCGUUGCUCGGAAUUACUGGGCGUAAAGAGCUCGUAGGUGGUUUGUCGCGUUGUUCGUGAAAACUCACAGCUCAACUGUGGGCGUGCGGGCGAUACGGGCAGACUAGAGUACUGCAGGGGAGACUGGAAUUCCUGGUGUAGCGGUGGAAUGCGCAGAUAUCAGGAGGAACACCGGUGGCGAAGGCGGGUCUCUGGGCAGUAACUGACGCUGAGGAGCGAAAGCGUGGGGAGCGAACAGG
rnacentral:rRNA from 1 species